rnacentral:rRNA from 1 species
UGCUAUGGCCAUACCAUCCUGAAUCUCAGAAACUAAGCAGGAUCGGGUCUGGUUAGUGCUUGGAUGGGAAAAUUACUGACAACUGGACUAA